rnacentral:sRNA from 1 species
ACCAGGCGUGGUGGUGCACACCUGUAAUCCCAACUACUUGGGAGGUUGAGACAGGAGGAUCACAAGUUCAAGGCCAGCCUGGGCAACGUAGUGAGACCCUGUAGCAC